AUAAAAUGGGCUGACCACGGGUUG
rnacentral:siRNA from 1 species